CAGCAGCCGCGCGCCUCACUCCUGACGCUGCGUGCUGCAGGUGUGGUGGAGGAUAAACGACGGCUGUAUGUGGUCAUCAUCAUCCUCAUUACAUCGGUGUUGUGAUCAUACAAUAUGCAGAGUUGGCCAUGGCAGCUGGUGUUUGCUGCUGCUGUCUUCAGUUUCAUAAAUGAAACAAUGAAUGACAGGUGCCUCUGGUCGGACUGUGUGAUCCGAUGUUGGAGGCACCAGCCACCUCAGUGACCCUUGAACCGUGCCAUUACCAUGUCAGAGAGCCCACGGCCCCCCAAGCUGACACUUCACAAUGGCGCACAGGAAACGGAUGGUUAAUACACCCGUCACAAUCAUGUCACGCUCUUUAACACAAUGCUGGGAAAGUAACGGAGAAAUAAACCGUCACCAUUUUCUAAAAUAUGUUUUCCUCUCCGCUUCCCCAUCUGCCGCUGUUUCGUCAAGUGGAUUCACACAAUCGAUACGUCUCGAACAGGAUGUCUAUCCAGUCCUGUUUGUCGAAAACUGACAAGAGUCGGACCGCAAUCCGAGAACGGGAGCAAUUUCAGGAAGAAAGCAUCUCGGUUUGCUUCGGUGGAGUUUGUUUCAGGUUGUAAUUAAAAGUUUGGUGUAUACCACCUAA